GCAUUCAGUGAGGGGGUCAAGUGAAAUGAGUAAGAAUCCACUGUGGGUUGAGCGGUCAAAAGAGGGACUGUCCCGCGAAAACUAGGACAGUUGGGAGAAAAACAAGAAGGAAGAGGAUCGCUGGCCCACGUUUACUAUAUUAGCAGAAAAUCCUACCAGCCCGUAUUCAGGGUUUUUCUGAGGAGGCGUCCAAUUCUUUGAUACCUUAUUUGUCUGGCCUAUUCAUAAAUUCCAACCACGGUGCCCAAAUUUUUCGGUAAGUAUGGCUAUUAUUAUGUAGAAGUAGGGACAGUUCUUCCAUUUUUCUAAUUUCUUCUAUUUUUGUUAACCAUUCUUUGACUGUUGGGGAGGAGGAUGACUUCCAUUUCUGGGGAAUCAGCGAUUUUGCUGCCUGCAGGAGGUGUAAGUUAAGUUACCAAUCAAUGGGAGGUCUGAGACUUAUGUCAGAAACUCAGUGGAUACAGAAUAAAGGAAAUGCAGACAAAUUACAGGGAAGCAAGAAAAGACCGCAGAUAAUAAGGAAGAAAAAUGUAAAGAAAAGCCACCUUUACUUUUGACAUAUUAUAGAUAGACCUAUUCCAUGCAA